AAGAGCCCGAGUCAAUAGGAAACCAGUUCCAAGGGACUCAGCUAAGCCACUCAGAGAAAAAAAGACCUGAGCUUUAUUCGGAGAGGAAAAAAAAAAAAAAUGGAACAAGCUUGUGGCUGCAGGCACAGCACAGCUCAGGUCACUGGAUAGAUGGUCCCUUUGGAUCACGUGCUCAUCCCUGGCCCAGUCAGCUGUGAUCAGAGGAGCAAGACCGUGAGAUAAGGCUUGAAACCUAAGGAAUUUCAAAGAGGGGGCCAUGAUGGGCAUUCAGCGGCAUCUCAGGAGGGGGCAGAGUAACCAGCAGGUGCUUUGCAUGCUGGUCUGGUGUGUCUGGAAAAGGCAUCCCGCUAAAACGUUUGUCAGGAAACUUCUCAUCAGCAUUUCCAGCAUGCAGGAGCAACCAAGAGAGCCACUUAGAUACCAUUUGAUUAUAAUGUGUUUCUCAGAGAAAUAAAUAGCCCAAAUGGAAGUUGGGAAACCCAGGUAACAGUGCAUAGAUGAAUUGCCUAAGGUUCUGCUU
rnacentral:lncRNA from 1 species